UGGCGCUAUAUAAAUAAAACUGAAUUGAAUUGAAUUGAAUUGAAUUGAACAAAAAAACAGAAAAGCCAAUCGGACAGAGGGAGUACACGGCAGGUUAACCCCUCGUUCUCUCAUCAUGCACAGCAGUGAGGAGUGUGAAAAGCAGUGGUGUGUGUUGCAGUCUAAAGCCAGACGGGGGAUUUCAGCACACAAAUGGGAUUCUUCACGCAGAGGUCACGGCUCAGUUGCAGCAGCAGAAUCCAGUCCGACUACGGGUGUUUUUCACUCAGCAGCUGUCUGUCGGCCGGCAGAGAUUCAGUAUCUCCGCUCUCCGCUACUGGGCUAUCCUUCACACCGCCUGACAGGAAAUCGCAUCUCUCCGCGUAUUUGCAUUGACUUUAUAUUUAUUUCCUGGCCCUCCCGCCCAGGGCCUUUGGUAUUACUCCCAGCAGAGCUGCUGUAGGGUUUCGAGGAAUAUCCUGUUGAUUUCCAGACCACAAAACAGCAAGAUUAUAGUGAAAUGUCAUUUGACGGAAUUAGUUGCCUACAUCAGCACUGCAGAAUUCUCGUCUUCCUUAUUUGAUUAUGAUUCAUGCAUUAGUAGAGUACUAGUAUUUCUUGUAUUGAAUAACUGAAUGGUGGUGAAAUAUGAGCCAGCUGCAGAUCGCUGCUGUCUCGGGAAACUUGAUUUUAAUUUAGAGCCAGAUCAAGUUUCCUGACCCUGCAGUCAAUGAAACUCAUUCAGAGGGACUGAUUAAACUUUUAAAAAGCGUGGCUGUCAAUCUGGAAAAUGCUCUUUUAAUAAAGUUCUCAAAAAGACA